rnacentral:rRNA from 1 species
GGUGUAGUCUGCCCGGUGAUAUAGAUUUAUUUUUAACGGCCGCAGUACUUUGACUGUGCUAAGGUAGCAAAAUAAAUUGGCUUUUAAUUAAGGUCGAGAAUGAAAGGCAUAAUGGGUAAAAGCUGUCUCUUUAAUUUAUUAAUAAUUUAUUUAAUAGGUGAAAAUCCCUAUAAGACCACAUUAGACGAGAAGACCCUUAGAGUUUUUAAAAUAUAAGCUAAAAGGGCUAGUUUUAUCCUUUUUUGUUGGGGCGACAUAGUACCACAUUAAACGUACUAAAUAAUUUGUGACUUAUUACAAGACUUUAUUUAAAUAUGAAUAUAACUACCUGAGGGAUAACAGCAUAAUUUAAUAUAUAAGAUUGUGACCUCGAUGUUGGACUAGGAACUAAGAGUAUUAGUCAUACG